UGGGGAAUAUUGCACAAUGGAGGAAACUCUGAUGCAGCAACGCCGCGUGAGUGAUGAAGGUCUUCGGAUUGUAAAGCUCUGUCUUCUGGGACGAUAAUGACGGUACCAGAGGAGGAAGCCACGGCUAACUACGUGCCAGCAGCCGCGGUAAUACGUAGGUGGCAAGCGUUGUCCGGAUUUACUGGGCGUAAAGGAUGUGUAGGCGGAUAUUUAAGUGAGAUGUGAAAUCCCCGGGCUUAACUUGGGGGCUGCAUUUCAAACUGGAUGUCUAGAGUGCAGGAGAGGAAAGCAGAAUUCCUAGUGUAGCGGUGAAAUGCGUAGAGAUUAGGAAGAAUACCAGUGGCGAAGGCGGCUUUCUGGACUGUAACUGACGCUGAGGCAUGAAAGCGUGGGGAGCAAACA
rnacentral:rRNA from 2 species